AAGAGAAGCGACCACGCGAGUGUGGGCGAAUCUCAAAAAUAACGUCUCAGUUCGGAUUGUAGUCUGCAACUCGACUACAUGAAGCUGGAAUCGCUAGUAAUCGCGGAUCAGAAUGCCGCGGUGAAUACGUUCCCGGGUCUUGUACACACCGCCCGUCACACCAUGGGAGUCAGUAACGCCCGAAGCCGGUGACCCAACCUAACAAGGAGGGAGCCGUCGAAGGCGGGACGGAUGACUGGGGUGAAGUCGUAACAAGGUACC
rnacentral:rRNA from 1 species